AGCAGCCGCGGUAAUUCCAGCUCCAAUAGCGUAUAUUAAAGUUGUUGCAGUUAAAAAGCUCGUAGUUGAAUUUCGGGAUUAGCAGGUCGGUCGUGCCACUGGUACGUACUGGUCUUGCUGAUUCCUCCCUCUUGACGAGCCGUAAUGCCAUUAAUUUGGUGUUGCGGGGAAUCAGGACUGUUACUUUGAAAAAAUUAGAGUGUUUAAAGCAGGCAUGCGCUUGAAUACAUUAGCAUGGAAUAAUGAAAUAGGACGUUCGAUCUUAUUUUGUUGGUUUCUAGGAUUGACGUAAUGAUUAAUAGGGAUAGUUGGGGGCAUUAGUAUUCAAUUGUCAGAGGUGAAAUUCUUGGAUUUAUUGAAGACUAACUACUGCGAAAGCAUUUGCCAAAGGAUGUUUUCAUUUAAAUCUAAAGAACGAAAGUUAGGGGAUCGAAAGACGAUCAGAUACCGUCGUAGUCUUAAACCAUAAACUAUGCCGACUAGGGAUCGGAUGAAUGUUAAUUAUUUAAUGACGUCAUUC
rnacentral:rRNA from 1 species